UACGAAGGGGGCUAGCGUUGUUCGGAAUUACUGGGCGUAAAGCGCACGUAGGCGGAUUGUUAAGUUAGGGGUGAAAUCCCAGGGCUCAACCCUGGAACUGCCUUUAAUACUGGCAAUCUCGAGUCCGAGAGAGGUGAGUGGAAUUCCGAGUGUAGAGGCGAAAUUCGUAGAUAUUCGGAGGAACACCAGUGGCGAAGGCGGCUCACUGGCUCGGUACUGACGCUGAGGUGCGAAAGCGUGGGGAGCAAACAGG
rnacentral:rRNA from 1 species